UACCAGCACCCCGAGUGGUCGGGACGAUUAUUGGGCCUAAAGCAUCCGUAGCCGGUUUUACAAGUCCUCCGUUAAAUCCAGCUGCUUAACAGAUGGGCUGCGGAGGAUACUAUAAGACUAGGAGGCAGGAGAGGCAAGCGGUACUCAGUGGGUAGGGGUAAAAUCCGUUGAUCCAUUGAAGAACACCAGUGGCGAAGGCGGCUUGCCAGAAUACGCUCGACGGUGAGGGAUGAAAGCUGGGGGAGCAAACCGG
rnacentral:rRNA from 1 species